UAGGGAAUCUUCCACAAUGGACGCAAGUCUGAUGGAGCAACGCCGCGUGAGUGAAGAAGGUUUUCGGAUCGUAAAGCUCUGUCGUUGGUGAAGAAGGAUAGAGGUAGUAACUGGCCUUUAUUUGACGGUAAUCAACUAGAAAGUCACGGCUAACUACGUGCCAGCAGCCGCGGUAAUACGUAGGUGGCAAGCGUUGUCCGGAUUUAUUGGGCGUAAAGCGAGCGCAGGCGGAAGAAUCAGUCUGAUGUGAAAGCCCUCGGCUUAACCAAGGAACUGCAUCGGAAACUGUUUUUCUUGAGUGCAGAAGAGGAGAGUGGAAUUCCAUGUGUAGCAGUGGAAUGCGUAGAUAUAUGGAAGAACACCAGUGGCGAAGGCGACUCUCUGGUCUGCAACUGACGCUGAGGCUCGAAAGCAUGGGUAGCGAACAGG
rnacentral:rRNA from 1 species